AGAAGGAACCUGGCUCUAGGCCAGGUGUGGUGGCUCAUGCCUAUAAUCCUAGCACUCUGAAAGGCCGACGUGGUAGGAUCGCUUGAGCCCAGGAGGUUGAGGCUGCAGUGAGCUGUGAUUGUACCACCACACUCCAGUCUGGGUGACAGAGUGAGACCCUGUCUCAAAAAAAAAAAGAAGGAACUGGGCUCUAGAAGGUCCAGAGGAGAUUCCAGGAAAAAAACAGGAACAUUGGAGACACCAAAGGAGCAUCAUGUGCAUGGCAUGGAACGAGCAAGUGGGACGAGCUGACACAGGGGAGAAACUUCCGUACCCUCUUCCUGUGUCCCUACAAAAGCCUGGACAAUGCAGUCCCAGCCCUGCUGCAGAACAUGGGCAGGCCCCACCUUCCUCCUUCCUGCAGGGAUAUCCUUUCCUAUAGAAGAGGUCCCUGUGCCCUUUGAAGCAGUUGGGCUCUUCUGCACUGACUGCCUCAAAGAAAGGAUGUUACAAUGGAAAACAGAACUGGGAAAAGACUUCCUGACUUUGGAGUUUCAAAAGCUUAGUUCAUUAGAGAAAUGGAAAAGACUCAGAAAGGAUUAAACACUGGGCAGAAGUAUUGUGAGUGAGAACCAAAUUCCUUACUAGCCCUACCACCUGAGCUUCAAGGAUUGUGGAUAUCCAGUGGGGAGGAGAACUGACGGGGACUGGGGCGAGAAGAUCAGAUCUGAAGAAACUUCAGGGGCAUGAGCAGACCCAGCAUCCAUGGACAACGCAGUAUCCACUCACAUGAGCCUGUGCACCACCGGUGCAUCGGGGCUGCACUGGUUGUCUUGUCCUUUGGCAUCCAAUGAGGACUUCCUAGGAGGGCUGUUGGCAUUUUUCUCACUGACCAUUUAGCAGGAAUAACAACUGUCUUUGCCUCCAAACCUGGCUAUGUUGCAGUUAAGAAGACUGAUUCCAUGCGGUCAACCUAAUAUGCAAUAUCUCAUGGUGCUUGUAAGCCCCCAAGAAGGAGGAUGGGGCCUUUGUGUAGGUGGCAAGGUAGUGCCAUAGAAGGAAAAGUUCUUGAGUCUACAAUUGAAGGCAAAUGGAACCAGCUCAAGAUUUUCCUCAAAGAAUAACAAUGGUCAAGCUCUGCUCCCACACCAAACUCUCCUUAUUAUAUGAUUCUCUGGCCUUCUACAGAGUGCUACAUUGCUCUUCCAUGUUGAAAAACUUUGAACUAUUUCCCACAGAGCUAGUCCAGUGGUCUAUUUGGGUGAUUCUACUCUGUGUUGCAUUUCUAGUCUCUGACCUAACCUUGACCUUGACCCUGAUCUUGGGUGCUUGCUUGGUUUUCCUGGUUCUCACACCCCUCAUCAUAAACCAUGCCCUCCCCAGCUCCCAGGCCAGGCAUGUAGCAGGCUUUAUCUCCCCUUCUUUACUGGGGUGUCAGUCUCAAUGUCUCAGCCAACCUAUAUACCUGGAGGUUCCUAACCUCCAUGAAACCCUCAAACAACACCCUCCCUCAUUUUGCCUAACAUGAAGCGGAUCACAGGUAACAUGGCAUCCUCAGGAUCACACCAUAAGCACCAGAUGGAGAAGGGUUUUGCCUGGGAUGAGUCAAGGUAUUACAUUAAUGGGACCAGGUUGGGCCAGCGACUGGCUGGGAUCCCUUCUCGUCACAUGGAAUCCCUUCCUUACUCUCUUUCCUCCCAUGACUGGUAUGGUUAGACCAUCCUGGGGACAAACUCACCCUCCUCUUCACUAGAGAAAGGGUGGUGGGAGAGGAAAUAACUUCUGCAGCCUAGAGGUGAGACCCAGAGGACCACAGGAUUGGGCCUGGAGGGCAAGUGGCCAUAGCUGAGACUUUAAACCAGAGAAGAAAGAGGGCAAGGAAACCAGAUCAGUCACCAAUGCUAAUGUCCUCUGGGCAUGUCAACACUAAGAAGAUGAAAAUGGAAAACAUGAAAAGGAAGUUUCACUUCUGGCUUAUGUUAUGUACUUGGCACAGUGUUAAUUUCCAUCCUUGCACCUUCCCCGUGCCCUUCUCUGCUUCACAGGGGCCUAAUUAACAUUACACAGUGUCCUAUAGGCCUCAGAUGAAAGCUAUUAUAAAAGUGCAGAAACGAUCAUCGUCAUCACAGACCCUAAUUUGAUAAGAAAUUCCUUUCAGCCUGAAGUGAGUAUUAACUAUAUUCGAAGGUCUAGGAAUGUUGUCAGUGUGUUUCAAAGGUUACCACUACCUGGGGGGAAGAAAUGCACCAUGAAAGGAGAUUUUUCAUGGUGAAAUUAUUAAAGUAUUUAGAGUUGAAAAAAAGAAAAGACACAAACAUUGAGAGAUUAUGAGUGACAAUGAAAUCAGACUAGUUAGCAGAAACAAAGCAGGGCCUCAACCAGGUGACAGCAGGACUGAUUUUUACGUCAGGUUUUCAGGUCAAGUCUAUUAAAGGAACAGCUGGGCCCAUGAGCUUUCAUUGCAGUGCUAUUUCUCUGCAUUGAAUACUGGCUAAAAUUAAUGGGGCAUAGGAUAGGGCUGGAAAAUUUUUAUUAAAAUAGAGAGGCUUUUGUGGUAAAUUAUGGUAGCUAGGGGUUUAAGGUUGAGGGGAGGGGAAGGUCCUGGAACAUUUCUUCUACCAAUUGCCCUAGCAAUUAUAUCCAUCUUUGGAAUCUUAAUGCCUGGCUUCUAAUCCCAGGUAAACUUGGAACAAGUGAUUCAACCAUUUUGUGCCUUAAUGUCCUCAUUUGUCAAAUGAAAAUAGUGAAAAUGCCAACCGGGCGCAGUGGCUCACACCUGUAAUCACAGCACUUUGGGAGGCCGAGGCGGGCAGAUAACCCGAGGUUGGGAGUUCGAGACCAGCCUGACCAACAUGGAGAAACCCCAUCUCUACUAAAAAUACAAAAUUAGCCGGGCAUGGUGGUGCAUGCCUGUAAUCCCAGCUACUCGGGAGGCUGACACAGGAGAAUCGCUUGAACCCAGGAGGCGGAGGUUGCCGUGAGCCAAGAUCUCUCCAUUGCACUCCAGC
rnacentral:lncRNA from 1 species